UACGUAGGGGCUAGCGUUAUCCGGAAUUACUGGGCGUAAAGGGUGCGUAGGUGGUUUCUUAAGUCAGAGGUGAAAGGCUACGGCUCAACCGUAGUAAGCCUUUGAAACUGGGAAACUUGAGUGCAGGAGAGGAGAGUGGAAUUCCUAGUGUAGCGGUGAAAUGCGUAGAUAUUAGGAGGAACACCAGUUGCGAAGGCGGCUCUCUGGACUGUAACUGACGCUGAGGCACGAAAGCGUGGGGAGCAAACAGGAUUAGAUACCCCGGUAGUCCCUGAGCGGGCU
rnacentral:rRNA from 1 species